CAGCAGCCGCGGUAAUACGUAGGGUGCAAGCGUUAAUCGGAAUUACUGGGCGUAAAGCGUGCGCAGGCGGUUUGUUAAGACAGAUGUGAAAUCCCCGGGCUCAACCUGGGAACUGCAUUUGUGACUGGCAAGCUAGAGUGUGGCAGAGGGGGGUGGAAUUCCGCGUGUAGCAGUGAAAUGCGUAGAUAUGCGGAGGAACACCGAUGGCGAAGGCAGCCCCCUGGGCCAACACUGACGCUCAUGCACGAAAGCGUGGGGAGCAAACAGGAUUAGAUACCCCCGUAGUCCCUGUCUCUUAUAC
rnacentral:rRNA from 1 species